AUGAACGCUGGCGGCGUGCCUAAUACAUGCAAGUCGAGCGAACAGAUGAGGAGCUUGCUCCUCUGAUGUUAGCGGCGGACGGGUGAGUAACACGUGGAUAACCUACCUAUAAGACUGGGAUAACUUCGGGAAGCCGGAGCUAAUACCGGAUAAUAUAUUGAACCGCAUGGUUCAAUAGUGAAAGACGGUUUUGCUGUCACUUAUAGAUGGAUCCGCGCCGCAUUAGCUAGUUGGUAAGGUAACGGCUUACCAAGGCAACGAUGCGUAGCCGACCUGAGAGGGUGAUCGGCCACACUGGAACUGAGACACGGUCCAGACUCCUACGGGAGGCAGCAGUAGGGAAUCUUCCGCAAUGGGCGAAAGCCUGACGGAGCAACGCCGCGUGAGUGAUGAAGGUCUUCGGAUCGUAAAACUCUGUUAUUAGGGAAGAACAAAUGUGUAAGUAACUAUGCACGUCUUGACGGUACCUAAUCAGAAAGCCACGGCUAACUACGUG
rnacentral:rRNA from 1 species